rnacentral:rRNA from 1 species
AUUGAACGCUGGCGGCAGGCUUAACACAUGCAAGUCGAGCGGGGUGAUGGUGCUUGCACUAUCACUUAGCGGCGGACGGGUGAGUAAUGCUUAGGAAUCUGCCUAUUAGUGGGGGACAACAUCUCGAAAGGGAUGCUAAUACCGCAUACGUCCUACGGGAGAAAGCAGGGGAUCACUUGUGACCUUGCGCUAAUAGAUGAGCCUAGGUCGGAUUAGCUAGUUGGUGGGGUAAAGGCCUACCAAGGCGACGAUCUGUAGCGGGUCUGAGAGGAUGAUCCGCAACACUGGGACUGAGACACGGCCCAGACUCCUACGGGGGGCAGCAGUGGGGAAUAUUGGACAAUGGGGGGAACCCUGAUCCAGCCAUGCCGCGUGUGUGAAGAAGGCCUUAUGGUUGUAAAGCACUUUAAGCGAGGAGGAGGCUCUUUUGGUUAAUACCCAAGAUGAGUGGACGUUACUCGCAGAAUAAGCACCGACUAACUCUGUGCCAGCCGCCGCCGUAACAC